UACGAAGGGGGCUAGCGUUGCUCGGAAUCACUGGGCGUAAAGCGCACGUAGGCGGCUUCUUAAGUCAGGGGUGAAAUCCUGGAGCUCAACUCCAGAACUGCCUUUGAUACUGAGAAGCUUGAGUCCGGGAGAGGUGAGUGGAACUGCGAGUGUAGAGGUGAAAUUCGUAGAUAUCGUCAAGAACACCUAUAGCGAAGGCAGCUUACUAGGCUGUAACUGACGCUGAGGCACGAAAGUGUGGGGAUCAAACAGG
rnacentral:rRNA from 1 species